rnacentral:tRNA from 1 species
GAGCCUGUGGCUCAAUAGUAGAGCGAUCGACUCAAUAACCAUAUGUCUUGGGUUCGAAUCCCAGGUUUU